rnacentral:rRNA from 1 species
GAUGAACGCUGGCGGCGUGCCUAAUACAUGCAAGUCGAGCGAACAGACGAGGAGCUUGCUCCUCUGACGUUAGCGGCGGACGGGUGAGUAACACGUGGAUAACCUACCUAUAAGACUGGGAUAACUUCGGGAAACCGGAGCUAAUACGGGAUAAUAUAUUGAACCGCAUGGUUCAAUAGUGAAAGACGGUUUUGCUGUCACUUAUAGAUGGAUCCGCGCCGCAUUAGCUAGUUGGUAAGGUAACGGCUUACCAAGGCAACGAUGCGUAGCCGACCUGAGAGGGUGAUCGGCCACACUGGAACUGAGACACGGUCCAGACUCCUGCGGGAGGCAGCAGUAGGGAAUCUUCCGCAAUGGGCGAAAGCCUGACGGAGCAACGCCGCGUGAGUGAUGAAGGUCUUCGGAUCGUAAAACUCUGUUAUUAGGGAAGAACAAAUGUGUAAGUAACUAUGCACGUCUUGACGGUACCUAAUCAGAAAGCCACGGCUAACUACGUG